rnacentral:tRNA from 1 species
CGCUCUUAGUUCAGUUCGGUAGAACGUGGGUCUCCAAAACCCGAUGUCGUAGGUUCAAAAUCCUAUAGAGCGUG